rnacentral:sRNA from 1 species
GGGGGGGGGCGAGAAUAAGAUGAUUGACAAACAAUAACAAACAAUACAAUUUAUCAUGUUCU